GCGUUGCCCUGGUAACAACUGUAAACAAAAGGCUGCGGUUAACUGCUCCGCUCCCUGACAGGAUUUUUCAUUCAUUCGUGCCAAUGAAACAGGAGGCCUCGAUUCGUGCAGAAGAUAAGGUUUGAAACCCAGACAGCACGAAGCAUCUUGCCGACGUCAAAAUCAGAUCAACAGACAGGGACAUCAGCCUUCUCUUGGGAAUAGGCCAGAUAUGCCAUAACAAGAAAUGGUGUUUUGCCCCUGCAGUUGUGAAGAGGAUGCUGUGGAGGUGGCAGCAUGAACGUGUCACACAGACAUUGGCUAAACUACUCGGCUUCUACACUUGCCCUCAGAGUUCACAUAUGGUGAAGAGCACAGGUGUCCAGUCAGGUUCAGACUGAUGCUGGUAACAAGAGGAAAA